rnacentral:rRNA from 1 species
CAGCCGCCGCGGGAAUACGUAGGGUGCGAGCGUUAAUCGGAAUUAUUGGGCGUAAAGGGCUCGCAGGCGGUUUCUUAAGUCUGAUGUGAAAGCCCCCGGCUCAACCGGGGAGGGUCAUUGGAAACUGGGAAACUUGAGUGCAGAAGAGGAGAGUGGGAUUCCACGUGUAGCGGUGAAAUGCGUAGAGAUGUGGAGGAACACCAGUGGCGAAGGCGACUCUCUGGUCUGUAACUGACGCUGAGGAGCGAAAGCGUGGGGAGCGAACAGGAUUAGAUACCCCCGUAGUCCCUGUCUCUUAUAC